UACGAAGGGGGCUAGCGUUGCUCGGAAUCACUGGGCGUAAAGCGCACGUAGGCGGACUCUUAAGUCGGUGGUGAAAUCCUGGAGCUCAACUCCAGAACUGCCUUCGAUACUGGGAGUCUCGAGUUCGGGAGAGGUGAGUGGAACUGCGAGUGUAGAGGUGAAAUUCGUAGAUAUUCGCAAGAACACCAGUGGCGAAGGCGGCUCACUGGCCCGAUACUGACGCUGAGGUGGCGAAAGCGUGGGAGCAACAGG
rnacentral:rRNA from 1 species